rnacentral:misc_RNA from 1 species
CGAGGAACACGAAGAACAGACGAGGAACACGAAGAACAGA